rnacentral:lncRNA from 1 species
AUGGAAGCAUUGAAGAAAAAAUUAUCUUCUGCAAUUAGGUCCAUGUUAGGCAAUCCAGCCUGCCUCACCUGCCAAAGUCAGAAGUGGUCAUAUCUGCACAAAGUGAUAAUUUUUCUAUCCCUUUUCUUGUCAAGAUUGCGUCAAUCAUCAUGUGACAGACCACCCAUGUGUAAAAAGACGUAUGUCUGGUGGGAGCUGAUAUGGAACCUACAGAUGGGUUUACUGGCUUCAAAAAGCAGAGAUGAGCAUUUUUCCCAGCUCCUUGUCCCAGUUGUGAAUCCUUCUCAGUGCUAAGGGCCUAAGAACCAAGCCCUUCCCUUUCUAAGUCACAGCAG